rnacentral:rRNA from 1 species
AGUGAACGCUGGCGGUAGGCCUAACACAUGCAAGUCGAACGGCAGCACAGGAGAGCUUGCUCUCUGGGUGGCGAGUGGCGGACGGGUGAGGAAUACAUCGGAAUCUACUCUGUCGUGGGGGAUAACGUAGGGAAACUUACGCUAAUACCGCAUACGACCUACGGGUGAAAGCAGGGGAUCUUCGGACCUUGCGCGAUUGAAUGAGCCGAUGUCGGAUUAGCUAGUUGGCGGGGUAAAGGCCCACCAAGGCGACGGUCCGUAGCUGGUCUGAGGGGAUGAUCAGCAAAACGGGAACUGAGACACGGUCCAGACUCCUACUGGAGGCAGCAGUGGGGAAGAUUGGACAAUGGGCGCAAGCCUGAGCCAGCCAUACCGCGUGGGUGAAGAAGGCCUUCGGGUUGUAAAGCCCUUUUGUUGGGAAAGAAAUCCAGCUGGCUAAUACCCGGUUGGGAUGACGGUACCCAAAGAAUAAGCACCGGCUAACUUCGUGCCAGCCGCCGCCGUAA